rnacentral:rRNA from 1 species
UCAAGCUACUAAGGGCAUACGGUGAAUGCCUUGGCACUAAGAGCCGAUGAAGGACGUGGUAAGCUGCGAAAAGCCACGGGGAGCCGCAAGCAGGCUUCGAUCCGUGGAUGUCCGAAUGGGGAAACCCGCCAUCCGUCAUGGGAUGGCAUCCUUCGGGAAGGGAACCCGGUGAACUGAAACAUCUAAGUAGCCGGAGGAAGAGAAAUCAAACGAGAUGCCCACAGUAGCGGCGAGCGAAGAGGGCAGAGCCUAAACCAGAGAGCUUCGGCUCCCUGGGGUUACGGACUGGCAGAAACCGAGUCAGGCCUAGCCGAAUCACCUGGAAAGGUGAGCCACAGACCGUGAGAGCCGGGUAGGCGGAAGGCAGAGCAAGGGGGCCAGUAUCCAGAGUACCGCGAAGCACGAGGAAUUUUGCGGGAAGUCGGGGGGACCACCCUCCAAGGCUAAACACUCCUUAGUGACCGAUAGCGCAUAGUACCGUGAGGGAAAGGUGAAAAGAACCGCGGGAGCGGAGUGAAAGAGAACCUGAAACCGUAUGUCUACAAGCAGUCGGAGCGCAAGCGACGGCGUGCCUAUUGAAGAAUGAGCCAACGAGUUACGGGCACCAGCGAGGUUAAGCAGGAAAUGCGGAGCCGUAGGGAAACCGAGUCUGAAAAGGGCGAUGAGUUGGUGUUCGUAGACCCGAAACUGUAGUGAUCUACCCAUGAUCAGGUUGAAGCACGGGUAAAAUCGUGUGGAGGACCGAACCGGUGAGUGUUGAAAAACUUUCGGAUGAAUCGUGGGUAGCGGUGAAAUUCCAAUCGAACGCAGAGAUAGCUGGUUCUCCUCGAAAUAGCUUUAGGGCUAGCCUCAGGCAGUAAGCAUAGGCGGUAGAGCACUGAUCGGGAUAGGGACUGUAAUGGUUACCGAACCCUGUCAAACUACGAAUGGCUAUGCUGCAGAGCCUGGGAGUCAGACUACGAGAGAUAAGUCCCGUUGUCAAAAGGGAAACAGCCCAGACCAUCAGCUAAGGUCCCCAAUGCCAUACUAAGUGGAAAAGGAUGUGGGGUCUCAUAAACAACCAGGAUGUUGGCUCAGAAGCAGCCACCAUUUAAAGAGUGCGUAAUAGCUCACUGGUCGAGAGGCCCUGCGCCGAAGAUUCCCGGGGCUAAAGUAUGGAACCGAAGCUAUGGAUGCAUGCUCAGGCAUGCGUGGUAGAGGAGCGUUCCCAUCGGGCUGAAGCCGUACUGGAAGGUGCGGUGGACUGGUGGGAAGUGAGAAUGUUGGCAUGAGUAGCGAAAAGAAUGGUGAGAAUCCAUUCCACCGAAAGCAUAAGGAUUCCUGAGCAACGAUCGUCGUCUCAGGGUAAGUCGGGACCUAAUCCGAGGCAAAGAGCGUAGGAGAUGGACAACUGGUCGAUAUUCCAGUACCGGCAGUGAUCGUUUGAACGAAGGAGUGACGCAGGAAGGCAGGUCCGCACGAGAUUGGUAGAUCGUGUGCAAGCGUGUAGGCUGGCAAACAGGCAAAUCCGUUUGCUGAGGCUGAGGCGUGACGCGGAGGGAACUUGUUCCCGAAGGGAUUGAGCCUACGCUGCCGAGAAAAGCUUCUAGUGAGAAAGCUGCCGCCCGUACCGUAAACCGACACAGGUAUGCGGGGAGAGAAUCCUAAGGUGCGCGGGAGAACCCUCGUUAAGGAACUCGGCAAAAUGUACCCGUAACUUCGGGAUAAGGGUAGCCACAAAGGUGAAGGGACUUGCUCCUGGAGCCCGGUGUGGUCGCAGAGAAGAGGCCCAAGCGACUGUUAACCAGAAACACAGGUGCCUGCGAAAGAGAAAUCUGAAGUAUAGGUGCUGACACCUGCCCAGUGCUGGAAGGUUAAAGAAGGAUGUCCGGGUUCGACCCAAAGCAUUCGACUGAAGCCCCAGUGAACGGCGGCCGUAACUAUAACGGUCCUAAGGUAGCGAAAUUCCUUGUCGGGUAAG